rnacentral:rRNA from 1 species
UCUCAAUUUAUUUAGUACGAAAGGACCAAUAAAUUUAUUUUUAAUAUUCUUAUGGCAGAUAAUUGCAUUAGAUUUAGAAUCUAUCCAUUCUAUUAUCUCAUCUUUCUCUAUUUCUGUUAUUUCUAUUAUUUGUAUCUUAGUCGCAGUAGCAUUUUACACCAUCUUAGAACGAAAAAUUUUAGGAUAUAUUCAAAUCCGAAAGGGACCCAAUAAAGUCGGCUUUUUGGGGAUUUUUCAGCCUUUUGCUGACGCAGUUAAACUUUUUAAUAAAUCUUUAUCAUCUUCUGAUUCUUCUAACUUUUCAAUUUCAUUUUUAACUCCUGGAAUCAGUUUAUUUUUAGCUCUAAUCUUAAUUCCUCUUUUUCCUUUUAAUGAUUUUCAAACCUUAGAUAAUAAGCAUAAUAUACUAGCUUUUUUUAUUAUUUCAAGUUUAAGAGUAUAUUCUAUUUUAAUAAUUGGCUGAUCCUCAAAUUCUAAAUAUAGACAAAUUGG